rnacentral:rRNA from 2 species
AGACCCGAAACCCGGUGAUCUAGCCAUGGGCAGGUUGAAGGUUGGGUAACACUAACUGGAGGACCGAACCGACUAAUGUUGAAAAAUUAGCGGAUGACCUGUGGCUGGGGGUGAAAGGCCAAUCAAACCGGGAGAUAGCUGGUUCUCCCCGAAAGCUAUUUAGGUAGCGCCUCGUGAAUUCAUCUCCGGGGGUAGAGCACUGUUUCGGCUAGGGGGCCAUCCCGGCUUACCAACCCGAUGCAAACUGCGAAUACCGGAGAAUGUUAUCACGGGAGACACACGGCGGGUGCUAACGUCCGUCGUGAAGAGGGAAACAACCCAGACCGCCAGCUAAGGUCCCAAAGUCAUGGUUAAGUGGGAAACGAUGUGGGAAGGCCCAGACAGCCAGGAUGUUGGCUUAGAAGCAGCCAUCAUUUAAAGAAAGCGUAAUAGCUCACUGGUCGAGUCGGCCUGCGCGGAAGAUGUAACGGGGCUAAACCAUGCACCGAAGCUGCGGCAGCGACACUGUGUGUUGUUGGGUAGGGGAGCGU